rnacentral:rRNA from 1 species
AUAUUGGACAAUGGGGGAAACCCUGAUCCAGCAAUGCCGCGUGAGUGAAGAAGGCCUUCGGGUUGUAAAGCUCUUUCGCCCGCGAAGAUAAUGACGGUAGCGGGAGAAGAAGCCCCGGCUAACUCCGUGCCAGCAGCCGCGGUAAUACGGAGGGGGCUAGCGUUGUUCGGAAUUACUGGGCGUAAAGCGUACGUAGGCGGAUGCGCAAGUUGGGGGUGAAAUCCCGGGGCUUAACCUCGGAAUUGCCCCCAAAACUGCACGUCUUGAGACCGAGAGAGGUAAGGAGAAUUCCUAGUGUAGAGGUGAAAUUCGUAGAGAUUAGGAAGAACACCAGUGGCGAAGGCGCGUUACUGGCUCGGUACUGACGCUGAGGUACGAAAGCGUGGGGAGCAAACA